AAGGGCACCACAAGAACGCGUGGAGCAUGUGGCUUAAUUUGACUCAACGCGGGAAAUCUUACCGGGUCCGGACACACUGAGGAUUGACAGGCAAUAUUAAAAAUAUGUUCAAUUUAUUGAAUUUUAUUUUUAUGUUAAAUAUGCUAGUCCUUUCAUGAUUAUGUGAUAGGUGGUGCAUGGCCGUUCUUAGUUCGUGGAGUGAUCUGUCUGCUUAAUUGCGUUUCACCUAAGGGCUUAUAAAUUACGUGUGUUGCGGCACUUUGACCCCUGGAUUGAAACAUUAUCUAGCGUGUGUCUUAGUUGCUUAGCUCGCACAAUUAAGUCCUGAAAGCAACGAACGUGACCGCAACCUCUUGUUGCCUUUUGCACAAUUCCUGCUUUUAACCUUUAUUGGUUAAUUGAUUUGGAAAAAAGAGGCUUUUAAACUAGAGGGACCGCUGUAAUCUUUUUAAACCAGAGGAAGGUUGCGGCAAUAACAGGUCUGUGAUGCCCUUAGAUGUUCCGGGCUGCACACGUGCUACAAUGAUUAUUGCAGUGAGCAUCUCAUUUUAUUACACCGCUUGCGCGAGACCGUUUUCCCUUCUCCUUUUUGGGGUAGCGCGAAAUUGUGCUCUUUGCGCGCGGUAAAGCCUGCUUCGAAAGUAAGUGGGUAAUCAAUUAGAAGUAAUGAUUUCCUUUUUCGCACACAUAUAUGCGGCGGCUAAUCCCGGGGCUUGCAUUUUGUCUUGCUCUUUUGUGUGUUUAGCCGUUUUUCCGCAUGUGCAAUUGUCAAUUCAUGGUGGGGACAGACCAUUGUUAAUUGUUGGUCUCGGUCUUAACUAGGAAUGCCUUGUACGGGUCUUUGGUUCAACAAACCACCCGGAAUACGUCCCUGCCCUUUGUACACACCGCCCGUCGCUCUUACCGAUGGACUAUACUGUGAGUUUGAGGGACUGGAUAUUUGCUACAUUUAUUUGUGGCAUGCCAUCUAUGGAAACUUAAACGAACAGUGUGGUCUAAAGGAAAGAGAAGUCGAACA
rnacentral:rRNA from 1 species